rnacentral:tRNA from 2 species
GGGCAGGUAGCUCAGUCGGUACGAGCGUCCGCCUGAAAAGUGGAAGGUCGGCGGUUCGACCCCGCCCCUGCCCACCC